AACGGUAACAGGAAGCAGCUUGCUGCUUUGCUGACGAGUGGCGGACGGGUGAGUAAUGUCUGGGAAACUGCCUGAUGGAGGGGGAUAACUACUGGAAACGGUGGCUAAUACCGCAUAACGUCGCAAGACCAAAGAGGGGGACCUUCGGGCCUCUUGCCAUCAGAUGUGCCCAGAUGGGAUUAGCUUGUUGGUGAGGUAACGGCUCACCAAGGCGACGAUCCCUAGCUGGUCUGAGAGGAUGACCAGCCACACUGGAACUGAGACACGGUCCAGACUCCUACGGGAGGCAGCAGUGGGGAAUAUUGCACAAUGGGCGCAAGCCUGAUGCAGCCAUGCCGCGUGUAUGAAGAAGGCCUUCGGGUUGUAAAGUACUUUCAGCGGGGAGGAAGGUGUUGUGGUUAAUAACC
rnacentral:rRNA from 1 species